GCCAGCUCGCAUGGUUCUGCACCUCCUAUAUCGGGCGAUAUUUUGCCUUCAGAUUCGAAGGACAGGAGGUCACUAAUGACCCCACAGUCGCAUGCAGCAGUGACCGCGGGCUCUUAGAUACAGUGCCGUGGUCAAGGACCCGCUUGGCUCGUGGUACCUCCGACUCGAUCGGAGGAUAGAGAGAUCAUCCAUAUCCAGAGCCACUCCACAUUUAGAGAGCCUUCUACAUCUCGUGUCGUUAAUAGGAUCAUACGUCGCUUGAUGUCGGG